AAAUUAAGGGCAGGUUACCCACGUGUUACUCACCCGUCCGCCACUCGUUCAAAAUUAAAUCAAGAUGCAAGCACCUUUCAAUAAUCAGAACUCGUUCGACUUGCAUGUAUUAGGCACGCCGCCAGCGUUCAUCCUGAGCCAUGAUCAAACUCUGAGGCAC
rnacentral:rRNA from 1 species